rnacentral:tRNA from 1 species
GGCGGUAUAGCUUAGUUGGCUAGAGCGUUCGGUUCAUACCCGAAAGUUCACUGCUUCGAUUUCUCUAACCGCUACUA